rnacentral:rRNA from 1 species
AUGAACGCUGGCGGCGUGCCUAAUACAUGCAAGUCGAGCGAACGGACGAGAAGCUUGCUUUUCUGAUGUUAGCGGCGGACGGGUGAGUAACACGUGGAUAAACUACCUAUAAGACUGGGAUAACUUCGGGAAACCGGAGCUAAUACCGGAUAAUAUUUUGAACCGCAUGGUUCAAAAGUGAAAGACGGUCUUGCUGUCACUUAUAGAUGGAUCCGCGCUGCAUUAGCUAGUUGGUAAGGUAACGGCUUACCAAGGCAACGAUGCAUAGCCGACCUGAGAGGGUGAUCGGCCACACUGGAACUGAGACACGGUCCAGACUCCUACGGGAGGCAGCAGUAGGGAAUCUUCCGCAAUGGGCGAAAGCCUGACGGAGCAACGCCGCGUGAGUGAUGAAGGUCUUCGGAUCGUAAAACUCUGUUAUUAGGGAAGAACAUAUGUGUAAGUAACUGUGCACAUCUUGACGGUACCUAAUCAGAAAGCCACGGCUAACUACGUG